rnacentral:rRNA from 1 species
AUGCACAUCGGCGGGUCAAUCUUCAAGAUGGACAAUACCGAAGAAGGGACACUCCAAAUACCAUCACCACAUAUCAAACCAGAAGCAACCGCACCUGCGAAGUCCUCGGACUCCUUACGGUUCACCCUCUCCCAAACAAACAAGAUGACAGUGCCAACAAACAUGUCAAUCGCAAAGUAUGCCCCAAUGUAA